AUUGAACGCUGGCGGCAUGCCUUACACAUGCAAGUCGAGCGGAGAUGAGGUGCUUGCACCUUAUCUUAGCGGCGGACGGGUGAGUAAUGCUUAGGAAUCUGCCUAUUAGUGGGGGACAACAUUCCGAAAGGAAUGCUAAUACCGCAUACGUCCUACGGGAGAAAGCAGGGGAUCUUCGGACCUUGCGCUAAUAGAUGAGCCUAAGUCGGAUUAGCUAGUUGGUGGGGUAAAGGCCUACCAAGGCGACGAUCUGUAGCGGGUCUGAGAGGAUGAUCCGCCACACUGGGACUGAGACACGGCCCAGACUCCUACGGGAGGCAGCAGUGGGGAAUAUUGGACAAUGGGGGGAACCCUGAUCCAGCCAUGCCGCGUGUGUGAAGAAGGCCUUAUGGUUGUAAAGCACUUUAAGCGAGGAGGAGGCUACUGAGACUAAUACUCUUGGAUAGUGGACGUUACUCGCAGAAUAAGCACCGGCUAACUCUGUGCCAGCCGCCGCGGUAAUAC
rnacentral:rRNA from 1 species